rnacentral:rRNA from 1 species
CCUACGGGAGGCAGCAGUAGGGAAUAUUGCUCAAUGGGGGAAACCCUGAAGCAGCAACGCCGCGUGGAGGAUGAAGGUUUUCUGAGUGGAAACUCCUUUUUUUAGAAAAGUUAAUGACAGUAUCUAACGUAUAAGCACCGGCUAACUCGGUUCCAGCAGCCGCGGUAAUACGGAGGGUGCAAGCGUUACUCGGAAUCACUGGGCGUAAAGGGCGCGUAGGCGGGUUAGUAAGUCAGAUGUGAAAUCCUAUGGCUUAACCAUAGAACUGCAUUUGAAACUGUUAUUCUAGAGUAUGGGAGAGGUAGGUGGAAUUCUUGGUGUAGCGGUAAAAUCCGUAGAGAUCAAGAGGAAUACUGAUUGCGAAGGCGACCUGCUAGAACAUAACUGACGCUGAUGCGCGAAAGCGUGGGGAGCAAACAGGAUUAGAUACCCCAGUAGUC